CUAGCCUAUCCUGUCCUGUCCUAUCCUAUCCUCUAAUUCCAAAUGCUUCAGCAACUAUCUCUUUCAUCUUCCUUCUCUUCUUCUUUGACGAUAACCUGAGCUUCAAGUCAAACUCACAAGAAGAGGUCCAUCUCUUCUUCGUCAGCUGUGUCUGUUAUCCAAGCUCACAUCAUGCCAAACAUUCAUGCGGCCCAUGACAAGCAGUGAAAAGCGGACAAAUGACUCAUGACUCUUUGUGUUGUGGUGGAGCCCAAACGUCCGUCUGUCACGCCACUGCAGCGGGAGGUUGGUGUGGUUUUGCCGUCUCGCCCUCCAGAGCCAGCCACUCGGCCACAUGGUUGGAUUCAGGCACAGGUCUCACUUGUGGGAGCCUGCGUGUCACGCACAGGAGUCACGAUGAAACAAGGAUCUGUGCGAGUGACCCGGCUGCUCUACAGUCUCUCCACAUUAUCCAGUGUGAUGUCGUAACCAAAGGCUCCAUGAUGAAAGACAGACGUGCCGUGCACCGCGAUGCACCUGCGCAGACUGAAGGGGCUCAACGGCUCUUUUGCUCCUCUCUUCCGUUGAAACACAGUCAAGAAGCUCCAGGAGAGUCCUGAUGGAGCGCAGGCGACUGAUCCCCCCCGACCUGAAUCCACCUGCGUGUUACAGUGGAUGACUUCAGUGGGAGGCAUCAUGAAGCAGUGUCGCAGGCUUGAUGAAACACUGUCCUAUUCUCUCUUGGUUCAGAAAUGAUGUGAGGUUUCAUUGAAUUAGCUGGACAGCUGUAACAACAUUUUCCAGCGGUCAGCGCCACCUAGUGGUGUCUGAAA